rnacentral:rRNA from 1 species
GCCGGCAGCUAGCUCUCUACAACUCUCACAUGGCUGCCCACUGAAGCUAAACAGGGCUGUGCCCGGUCAGUACCUGAAUGGGAGACCACAUGGGAAAGCUAGGUUGCUGCUGGAA